AGGGGGAGGCGAAUCCCAAAAAUAAACGUCCCAGUUCGGAUUGUAGUCUGCAACCCGACUACAUGAAGCUGGAAUCGCUAGUAAUCGCGGAUCAGAAUGCCGCGGUGAAUACGUUCCCGGGCCUUGUACACACCGCCCGUCACACCAUGGAAGUCGGUAAUGCCCGAAGUCAGUAGCCUAACCGCAAGGGGGGCGCUGCCGAAGGCAGGAUUGAUGACUGGGGUGAAGUCGUAACAAGGUACC
rnacentral:rRNA from 1 species